rnacentral:rRNA from 1 species
CUGCAACUCGCCUGCAUGAAGUCGGAAUUGCUAGUAAUCGCAGAUCAGCAUGCUGCGGUGAAUACGUUCCCGGGCCUUGUACACACCGCCGUCACACCAUGGGAGUCGGUAACACCCGAAGUCGGUAGCCUAACCGUAAGGAGGGCGCCGCCGAAGGUGGGAUUGAUGACUGGGGUGAAGUCGUAACAAGGUAAC